UUAUACAAUUUAUAUUAUUUAAUGUGUUUGGGGUAGAAGAUUAGAUUUAUUUAAGGUUAAAAUUUAUAUUUUUAGGUGAAAUUUAAAUAUUGGUUAUUCUUUAUUCAAUUUCUUUUAAAAUCAAAUUAAAAACUAGGAUUAGAUACCCUAUUAUUUUGAUCAUUAAUAGUUCCUGGGUAGUAUUAGUUAUGUUCUUGAAACCCAAAGAGUUUGGCGGUGUCUUAUUCCUAUUAGAGGAACUUGUCCCGUAAUCGAUAAUCCCCGUUUUAUCUUACUUUCCUUUGUUUAACAGUAUGUAUAUCUCCGUUAUAGGUUUAUUUUUUUAGGAUUUUUAUUUACCUAAUAAAUUAUUAUUUAUUAUUUCAAGUCA
rnacentral:rRNA from 1 species